GAGCAAGAGCGUCGAUAAAAAAUGGCGCAGCUUGCCUUGAAGGUUGGCGAAAACAAAUAACAAUGGCGAUUCUCCGUGCCUAUCAAAUUAAUUUCGUUUUGAUCAUGGCCUCGAACAAGUCGCUACAUU